GUUUAACGGCUGUUUUUUUUUUUACAAUCAUCAACCCCCACCCCCCCUCUUCCUUUGCACACGGCACGUAGAGAGCGAAGGGGGCGGGACAAGGCGUCGCUCCGCGUAGGAGAGAAGAGUGUGGAGUGACUACCCUUUUGACCAUUAAACGACAAAAGCGGUCGUACAGGAGGCGGUAUCAACUGAGUAACAGCACUUUGAACCAAUCGGGAAGAAGGAGAGUUUCCCGCCCAUAUUGUCUCCCCCUCCCCUGCUUGUUUGUUUGCGCGGAGAGAGAAAAAUGGAGGUGGCGGCCUGCGCGGGGGAGGGGUGUUCUUUCCCUCAUAUUCGAGGCGAGCGCUCGGAGGGUCUCUAGCCUGCGGACCUCAUUAAGUCCCGCCAUUAGACAAUCGCGCCUUCUAUUUCGUCUGAAAACGGAAGACAUCAGGGGGAGGCGCUUCCACUCCCCCCCCCCGCCGCCAAACUGCACAAACCAGGCGAAAAGGCUCCCCUGACGCAGGCGGGAGACCGCGCGGGCGCCUGGCAGAGCCCCUGGCCAAGGUCUCUCUUGUAGGCCGCCCUGCGGUCCUCGGUUGGAUGAAGGGCAGAGUAGAAACGUAGCAGCAGCAGCAGCUCCCCCUGCCGCGCCUUCUUCCGUGGAAGGAAGCCCCCACCAAGGUCCUUCUGAGGAAACGGCUCUCUUUGCGCCCAGCGCCCAGCGCCUCGCCGCAGCCCGGCUCGGCUUUACUCAGGUGUAGCGUCAAGUGAGAGAGACUUACUCCCACGAAAAUGCGCAAUGCAUUGCAUCCUUGCUAUUUAUCCUGCCCUUCUAUACAUACACAUACGCUUGGAGGGGCAUCCUGUGAGCUGGAAAAGUAUCUGGUCGGUUUAUUACAGGAAUAAUAACAGGGGGGGCAUGUGUGCUUCUCCCCAUUUAUUCUCACAACAACCCUGUGAGGUGUGCAACUCUAAUAUUUUGAUUGAAUAGUCUGAGGACAGUCUGUAUUAAGUGAAAGACAUUUAAGGAGUGAGAGCAAUAGACUAUUAGAUAAUGGCAGCUUCACCAUCAAUAGCCACAAGAAUAUCUACAGAUCAACUGGCGUUUGGUCAGCCGGCCGAUUUGCCUGUGAGCGUACUUCCAACAGAAUUGGAUAUUGCUAAGUGCUUCUUGCAUGAGAAACAAAAAUGGAUGAUUGAAAAGUCUGCAAAAAAGGAACCAGACAAUUCUAUUAUUGCAGAGAUUGUUGUGUCGAAAGUUGAAAGUGUUUACAAACGUGCAUCCAUACCAACAGUCCGAAAAGACACAAUUAAGGCCCGUGUUCUGAAAGUGUAUGAAAAGCGUCAAAGCAUAAUCAGAAUACCAGCUGCCAGAAGGUAUAAGAAUCCAAAGUGUCCAAAUCCCUAUGAUCUUUCAGACUUCUUCAAAAAUAAGAAAUAUGUGUUUCUGAAAGGAAUUUCCUGUUUGUUCGAAGUUGUUGACAAUGAGAAUGUGCCAAAGGUAGAGAGUGAAUUUCUCAAAGAUCAGCGAUCCGUUCGGAAGAUGACCAUAAGUAGUACAGUGGAUAAAGGCUACCAGGAAACAACAGCAGAAAGAGUUAAGUAAGAAAGCAGAGGGAACCAGGGCUGCACAGGAAUGACAACAAUGAGAAUCUCACUUUCAAAUUGUUGCUGCUGAUAAUGUUGAUAUUGUUGAUACUGGUGACUGUGGUGAAGAUAAAGUUGAAACAAUAGAGGAAGAUAUUUGUCCUGCAAAUAAUUCAGACUUAUUUUUUAAGACUUAUUAAUUAAGACCUAAAUUUAAGUGUCACACAUAAAUGGUGAAGAGAGCUGUCAAGGAGGUAACAAAAGCAAGCCAGAAUGUAGUUGGUAUGAAGUGAUGUGAUGCAACUAUAAAGACAUCAAUGGAGAAUUGGGCCAAAUACCCGAAACAGGAAUCGAAGGAUUUUGUCCAAAAAUAGUUCACAUUCACAGCUUUAUUUUUAAAUUUGUUCUUGAAGUAAUGUAAAUGUAACUUUACAUGUCAUUAUUAGUAUUAAGUUAUGUGAUAAUAAAAGUUGGUAUUCAAUAUUCACGUAUCCAGUUGCUAAAAUGUAGAAAUAAUAAUGUUGUAGGAUCGUAUGAGUCACAUUUGGGUUUAAACGUCAAUACUAUCAUCAUUAAAAGGGUUUUUUUUAAAAAAAAAAAAGUACUGGUGUAUCAAUUUGUAUUCUGCAUCUUUUAUUGUUCUUUUAAAAAAUGCAAUUCCUGCAAAAUAAAGCUGAAUUGGUCAUAAAGUGA